rnacentral:rRNA from 1 species
CACGUAGGGUGCGAGCGUUGUCCGGAAUUAUUGGCGUAAAGAGCUCGUAGGCGGUGUGUCGCGUCGGCCGUGAAAACCUGCAGCUUAACUGUGGGCGUGCGGUCGAUACGGGCAUCACUGGAGUUCGGCAGGGGAGACUGGAAUUCCUGGUGUAGCGGUGGAAUGCGCAGAUAUCAGGAGGAACACCGGUGGCGAAGGCGGGUCUCUGGGCAGUAACUGACGCUGAGGAGCGAAAGCGUGGGGAGCGAACAGG